rnacentral:rRNA from 1 species
UACGUAUGGUGCAAGCGUUAUCCGGAUUUACUGGGUGUAAAGGGAGCGCAGGCGGUGCGGCAAGUCUGAUGUGAAAGCCCGGGGCUCAACCCCGGGACUGCAUUGGAAACUACCGAACUAGAGUGUCGGAGAGGUAAGUGGAAUUCCUAGUGUAGCGGUGAAAUGCGUAGAUAUUAGGAGGAACACCAGUGGCGAAGGCGGCUUACUGGACUGUAACUGACACUGAGGCUCGAAAGCGUGGGGAGCAAACAGGG